GAGAGAGAGAGAGAGAGAGAUUGAAGAGAAAAAAAAUAAAAGAAUUGACAACAGAAAUCCAAUAAGCCUUGUUUCCAAUAGUUAAGAUUCUUCAAUUUACAAGUAGAUUAUGUAACAGUCCAAGCAGAGUUGCAGCUCAGCAACUUAUAUAUGAGUAGGGUCUGUGCAUGUGGUGUAAAAGUUUAAUGAUAGUAAUAACCACUCGAGCACUUAUACACAAGGCUGUCCUUGAAUACCUUAAAAUUCACAAAGUACUUGAUCUUGAUGACAGGAUCAAGCCUAAUAUAUGCUGAUGCAUGCAUCCCUGAAGCAUAGGGACACAAACUUGCUGAGUUUCAUCCAAUGAGACGGGCUAAAAGUGCAUCCUAGAUUCAAAAGGCAAGAGUUGCACACCUUAAAAUCUACUUGACUGCAUUAUCAUUGAUGCCUAAUGCUAGGAUGACCCAAGUAGAUAGAUGGCUGAUAUAGACAUGUACACUACUACACUCUUAAAACAUAGCGAGAAUAAACCCUAGUUUCACCCCAACAAUCAAACAUUUUGUAAUCCUUUUUGCAGAUCACUAGCCUAAUAACCUGUACGGAGUUAGCUUAUCCACGUGGCAGAAAAGCCUAAGUUUCAGGUUGUUGAUACUGGCACUCUAAGUGCUUGUAUACAUGCUAAAUUGGUCUGAAUUUCAAUAUUUUUUACCCAAUUUCGGAAAGUUGAUAAGUUUUGGUGGGACAAUGUUUGCUCCAUUGACUUUUCUACAAAUCAUCCAAAACUUUUCAUUUUAUGGUUAAAUAUUUGGAAAAUACAUUAAAUGGAUGGAAAUUCAAGUGAAAAAUUUAUAGAAAAUUUAGUCUAAGCAAAAACUUGAAAAAAAAAAUUCAAUAAAUAUUUGGCUUAUUCAACCCUAAAAAGAAGUUCAAGUAAAACAAAAUUGUCUAAAAUUU
rnacentral:misc_RNA from 1 species